GUCCACGCCGUAACGAUGAAUGCCAGUCGUCGGUAGCAUGCUAUUCGGUGACACACCUAACGGAUUAAGCAUUCCGCCUGGGAGUACGGCCACAAGGUUAACUCAAAGGAAUUGACGGGCCCGCACAAGCGGUGGAGCAUGUGGUUAAUUCGAAGCAACGCGCAGAACCUUACCAACCCUUGACAUGGGUAUCGCGGCUCUGGAGACAGAGCCUUCAGUUCGGCUGGAUACCACACAGGUGCUGCAUGGCUGUCGU
rnacentral:rRNA from 1 species